CUUUUAAGUCGAGCUUUCUUCAGCAACAUGGUGUGUUGUCCUCCGGCGUGUUGAUUUAUUGUUGAACUUGCGAGGUAGCGGUUAAAACAUCUGCCCCGGAACUAAUCAUCUGUUUUCAGAAGCGGAGCCUGACGCUGAGCCGACAUGUUUAGGCUUCUCUUCGUGCCUCGAGGAGUCACAGAGUCAGUCGGAUGUCACAUAAAUACGCAAAGAGGUUUGCUAGCAGUUCUGAUUUUUAUACUGAUACUCAAACGUCUUAUAGCUACAGCUUGGAAAACAGAACUAACAUUUAGCAGACGCCUUUAUCCAGAGCGACUUACAUUUUUUAUCUUAUACAACUGAGGGUUAAGGGCCUUGCUCAAGGGCCCAGCAGUGGCAGCCUGGUGGACCUGGGAAUCGACCUCAUAACCUUCUGAUUGGUGGACAGGAACGGGCUCAUGGGCACUCCAGCUAAUCAGAGGACUUUAUCUUCGAGCCUCUCUCACUCACUCACUCACUCAUCUUCUACCGCUUAUCCGAACUACCUCGGGUCACGGGGAGCCUGUGCCUAUCUCAGGCGUCAUCGGGCAUCAAGGCAGGAUACACCCUGGACGGAGUGCCAACCCAUCGCAGGGCACACACACACUCUCAUUAACUCACACACUACGGACAAUUUUCCAGAGAUGCCAAUCAACCUACCAUGCAUGUCUUUGGACCGGGGGAGGAAACCGGAGUACCCGGAGGAAACCCCCGAGGCACGGGGAGAACAUGCAAACUCCACACACACAAGGUGGAGGCGGGAAUCAAACCCCCAACCGCCUUCGAGCCUGCUGACUAAAACAAAAAACUGAAAACAUGCUCAGUCUGAUGACGCUAAUUGCCUCAGUGCUGUAGUCAGGUGAAGGAUCUGAGGUGAGGAUGUAAGGAUUUGACCCCGGGGCAAACGUGAGUACAGAGUGGAGCGCUGGCGCUUAUCCAGAACACUCGAGCCCUCAGGAAGGAAGGAAAGAAAGAAAGGAAGGAGGGAGAGAGGGAGGGAGGGAAGGGAGAAAGCGAGGUGAAAGAAAGACUCUGAGACAUGUUUCUCUCCUGUAACACACCGGCUGCUGUGUGACUGGAACAGGGCUGGAGAUUGUUUCUUCUCAAACACACACACACACAUACACACACACACACACACACAGUAUCAGCGACGAAUGAAUGAUGAAGAACAGCUCAGCAUUCCAACAAGACUUACGUGUUUAAGACCCACCGAAUCCCCUCUGUCUGUACAACUUCAUCUCACAUACACAACAUGAGCAGUUUAGAUAAUUUAUCAAUGAAGACUGUACAUUAAAAACAUGUGCAUGCAGUGUCACACACACACACACACACACACACACACACACACACACACACACACACAUGGUUGUACUGGCAGACGGAAUGGAAACUGGAAUGAAUGGUUUUAAGUACUGCUUCCUCUCACGCUGUUUUACACGUCUUCAAGCACCUCCUCUUUUUCACCUCUUCACGUCAAUCUAUCCAUCUAUUUCUCUUUUUCUUCUCUCCACAUUAUUACACUUGCCAAACUGCUUUAAAAAUACGUUUGAAUUCAUUAAGAUUUAACGUGUGACUGCGUUUCAAUAUAAUUUAGUUUACACGGUACUGGGGGAGGAGCCAUAUC